CACGUAGGGCGCGAGCGUUGUCCGGAAUUAUUGGGCGUAAAGAGCUCGUAGGCGGCCUGUUGCGUCCGCUGUGAAAGCCCGGGGCUUAACCCCGGGUCGGCAGUGGAUACGGGGCAGGCUAGAGGUAGGUAGGGGAGAAUGGAAUUCCCGGUGUAGCGGUGAAAUGCGCAGAUAUCGGGAGGAACACCGGUGGCGAAGGCGGUUCUCUGGGCCUUACCUGACGCUGAGGAGCGAAAGCGUGGGGAGCGAACCGG
rnacentral:rRNA from 1 species